rnacentral:ncRNA from 2 species
UGUAUAUCUGUUAAUCUUGAUAUAUGCAUAUGGCAAGAAACGGAAAACGGUGAAAAACCGUUGCGGACGCGCCGCUGUAACCGGCAAAACCCGCCCGCAUCCACCCGUCAGGGGAAGGGUGCGGGCAUGCAUGGGGCCGGGAGCCAGAAGACGUCUUGCCUGGAUGUGUUCC